GAGUUUGAUCCUGGCUCAGGAUGAACGCUAGCGGCAGGCCUAAUACAUGCAAGUCGAGGGGCAGCGCGGGUAGCAAUACCUGGCGGCGACCGGCGCACGGGUGCGUAACACGUAUACAAUCUGCCUUUAACAGGGGGAUAGCCCGGAGAAAUCCGGGAUUAAUACCCCAUAAUAUAUUGAGUGGCAUCACUUGAUAUUGAAAGCUCCGGCGGUUAGAGAUGAGUAUGCGCCUGAUUAGUUAGUUGGUGAGGUAACGGCUCACCAAGACUUCGAUCAGUAGGGGAUCUGAGAGGACUACCCCCACACGGA
rnacentral:rRNA from 1 species